GACGUAGGGCGCGAGCGUUUGUCCGGAUUUAUUGGGCGUAAAGAGCUCGUAGGCGGCUUGUCGCGUCGUCUGUGAAAACCCGCGGCUCAACGGCGGGCUUGCAGUCGAUACGGGCAGGCUGGAGUUCGGUAGGGGAGACUGGAAUUCCUGGUGUAGCGGUGAAAUGCGCAGAUAUCAGGAGGAACACCGGUGGCGAAGGCGGGUCUCUGGGCAAUAACUGACGCUGAGGAGCGAAAGCGUGGGGAGCGAACAGG
rnacentral:rRNA from 1 species